GCUCGAGCUGAGGCUUCUGCUCCAGGAGUUAUCUGCUCCAGGCCUCCUUCUUAACCCCUCCAGAGCCAGUGCCCCGGUGAUCUCUCUGGGUCUCUGUUUGAGUCUGGUCUCCAGGCAACAGGUGUGGGACUGGCUUCCUGGUGUUGGAGGAGAGAGGAGCUUGUUCAGCCCAGUCUGGAGUGGCAUGCUCUUCUUGGUUCAGCCGGAAGAUUCAGGCCCAGUUGCUUCUGAAGGAAAGGGAGAAGAUGGAUGACAAACUGAGCGGCAUGGAAAGAAACCUUGACUUUUUUCUCUGGAGAGAGAUCCAGGUCUGAAACCCAUCUGUGGAGCAAGCUGACGAUGCUGUUAACUCGACUCCACUGAGGAUGCAUACUGUCAGUUUUCAUGAAAAUUCAAUAAAGUCAACUCCCCAAUGGAUGGAGCAGGCUUCCCAAUCUUGCCUAGGGCUGGCCCUGCAUCUGGUCAUUUCAUUGUAGGGAAGCAGCCUCCUGAUGGUCAAAUUAUACCUGCUGUUAUGGAAAAUGGGGGGAGGGGGCAUCAGAUAAUCUGGAAAUAAAGGAUU